CAGGCCCCCAAGCAGGUGGAGUUGGAUGCGCGGGUGGAAUCUUGGCUUUUAACUCCUGGGGCAGCUGACAAUGUCCACGAACCCCCGGGUGGGGCGGGAACCUUUAGCCGCUAACCCCUAACCGCCCCCACACCAUGCCCCCCCCCCCCAUCUCUGUUUUAAGUUAAAUGCCCUGGGCUCGCUCUGUAAACGUGGAGCUGUAAACGUGGAGCUGAGAGGAACCACCAGCAGCCUCUCCCUCUCCUUCUGGAACCUUCUCCCAACAGUGAUGGCUGCCACAGAGCAGGGGCUGGAGGCCAUGACCCUGUACUCUGGAGCAGACGCUGCGGCCGAGCUGCCUCCGAGGCGUGGAGAUUCUGGAAGGAAACUCGGGCUGGGGAGGAGGAACGAGUUCCGGCAGAGCGGGCACGUUUGAUGACAGCCGCUCGUGUGCGGAGAGCUGUCCCAGGGGCCCGGGGACGCGGAGGCUCAGCCGGACAGAAACCCACUCAGGGAUGGAUUGAGCACCUGCUGUGUACCAAGCACUGCCCGCCCCCCCGGAAGAUAGCAGUGACCGAAACAGACUGAGAAAACCGCCGGAAAGCAAAACCCAGAAAACUCUCGGGCCUCGGUGGCCUCAGGCUUUAUGUCAAAUUAACACGCGGGUAAAUAAGAUACUUUCCAAGCAGCCUCGAGGUUCGGGGGGCCCCAGACCCACCGAGACUUUUCUCCAAGGAAAGACCAACGUUUGCGCGGCCAGCUCCAGAGGGGAUCUCCCGG